UACAGAGGUCUCAAGCGUUGUUCGGAUUCAUUGGGCGUAAAGGGUGCGUAGGCGGCGCGGUAAGUCGGGUGUGAAAUCUCGGAGCUUAACUCCGAAACUGCAUUCGAUACUGCCGUGCUUGAGGACUGGAGAGGAGACUGGAAUUUACGGUGUAGCGGUGAAAUGCGUAGAUAUCGUAAGGAAGACCAGUGGCGAAGGCGGGUCUCUGGACAAGUUCCUGGACGCUGGAGGCACGAAGGCCCAGGGGAGCAAACGGG
rnacentral:rRNA from 1 species